GCACUCGAGCAUUUAAAAUUGCAUCACUACUAAAAUAUUAAAUAAUCAUGUUCGCAUUUAAUGUUCGCACUCGAGCAUUCCAAUGCAUUUUAACUCAAGGCACGCACGCACAAGCAUGAUUAUUGAUUCACACAUGCAUCUUUAAUUAAUUAACUAAAAUAUGGCACUUGAAAAGUCUUUGGGGGUGCCUACAAAUUGAAAUUUGGUAACACAAUUAAUGCUAAGAAAUUAAUCUGGCUACCGUAUAUCCUGCAACGACAUGG
rnacentral:lncRNA from 1 species